ensembl:lncRNA
AGGAAACAGUAUAGCGCUUCCCUGAUGGCAGCAAAGAAAUUUUGAGCUGUGAGAGUCCAUAUACAAGAUUCUUCUGGAUCUUGGUAUUUUUCAUUUAAAAUAUAGAUAUUUAUGCAUUCUCUUAUAAAGGAAAACACUGCAGUGUCUUUAUGCUCAGUUAUGUGGUACCUGUUCAUAGUAUUUAUCUUCACAGUACAUGGAACCCAUGGUUGUGUGAUGACCAGUCCAGAUCAGAAGGUUAAUGCUGGGACAGAUGUCCAUUUGUCGUGUAAUUUCUGUCAAUGUCCUGGACCUCUGGAUGUCAUGUCUCUUAGCUUGGAGUGGGAAUUCAAGGGUAUCUCCUCUGAGCCAAAAAUAAUCCUCUACUACAUCAAAAAUAGAACUGUACCACUUCCUGGUGUAUUUUUUCAGGGAGAUGUCAAAUUAGGAAGUUUUGAUAUACAUCUCUCAUCUGUGACCCAUGAGAACAAUGGAACUUAUUUGUGUAGAUUGCGUCUCAAUGGCAGUUUCCACAAGAAUCAAACACACCUUACUGUGCAAUCAGUACUGACCAGGAGAAACAGUCCAGGUGUGAAUCGUCUGCAGACACAUCCUCCCUGGUGGCUGCCCCUGGUGUCAGUGUCUGGGUUUGUGUUACUAAUUGGAACCAUGUUUUUGGGGUGGAAGGCUUGUAGAUCAACCCAGAGAGAAAACAACUCAAAGCAACAAAUAGAAGAAGUUAAAACCAACACUGACAAAGAAGACAACAGAAUGGCAUACAAGGUGGGGUGCAGCUCUAUGCCUGAUCUGGCAGACACGAACAGUCCUCCCAGCAGUCCAGACAACAUCUAUAUUACCAUGCAUGGUUUCCCGUUUGCACCGGACGCUUCUGUCACAGCUGGAUGCAGCAGACGUCUUCCCUCUGACUGGCAGCCAAAAGAUGAGGAACCCAUAUAUGUCCGCUGCCACCAAGAUUUAUCAAUUAGAUCAUGUCGCUUAAAAGAUGAGACACAAAAUAACUGAUAAUUUAAAUGAAUUAGAGUAAAAGCCAUUGUCAGAUAUGUAUAAUAUAGUUCCCAACAGGCCUGUUUGCAUUUUUUGUUUCUUCAGUACUCACUGACUGACUGUACAGUACAUUAUCCCUCAUAAUAUAAAUCUGUUUUCAUCUGUCUAAAUAUGCAUGCAGUUCAAUGCCAUUUUGAUUAUGUAGCUUUCUUUUUGUCCACAAGCAUUAACCCCUUUAACCCCCUCGACUUUUCCUCUUUUUCUUCUCAAUGACUUCUCAUUAGCAUGAAAUUGCUACAUCUUAUAACAGACCCACUGUUCUCUCUGAGGCCAGCAUCUUUUUCCUAAUAGCGGAGAAGUGAUUACACACUUAAGUAUUCAUGCCAACUCUGCCCUUUGAGAUUUGAGGAACCACAGACCAAUAGUUUUAUAAAACAAAAUAAAACUAGUGGCUUAAACCA